UUUAUUCGCGAGAAGAAAGGGUGAAUAAGGAGCUGACAGUUCGAAUAAAAUGAAACGUAAAAUCCAAUGCUCCACUAGGCUCCCACAACAAAGCAACUAUGGCAUUUGGAAACAAAUAGACACUGGAAAAAGAGAAUGCAACGUUGGAGAUGCUGGGUGUGCAAUUGACAGGGAAUUGAAUCAAAUUCUUACAGAAAUGGAUAGAAUGAAUGCAAAGAAAUGUGUCUUCAUUAUUGGUGCCACCAAAUAGGGCUGAUAUAAUCGAUCACGCGCUUAUUUGUCAUGGACGUCUUGAUCAUUUGAUUUACAUACCUGUAGUAGGAAAAUUGCCUUCAUGAUUGGAGCCACUAUGUUAACAUUUUUCCCUGUAGUGUAAUAGGAAAAUUGGUGGCUUGUGUUCUAUGUAUAUUGAAGCUAUAAAUGAAUGGAAUGUAAUUUAAUCCUUCAUAUGUUUAA